UUAGCCUACGGGACGCAGCAGUGAGGAAUAUUGGUCAAUGGGCGAGAGCCUGAACCAGCCAAGUCACGUGAGGGAAGACGGUCCUAUGGAUUGUAAACCUCUUUUGCCGGGGAGCAAAAAGCGGUACGUGUACCGCAUCGAGAGUACCCGGAGAAAAAGCAUCGGCUAACUCCGUGCCAGCAGCCGCGGUAAUACGGAGGAUGCGAGCGUUAUCCGGAUUUAUUGGGUUUAAAGGGUGCGCAGGCGGAGGUGCAAGUCAGCGGUCAAAUUGCGGGGCUCAACCCCGUACUGCCGUUGAAACUGCA
rnacentral:rRNA from 1 species